rnacentral:rRNA from 1 species
UACAGAGGUCUCAAGCGUUGUUCGGAUUCAUUGGGCGUAAAGGGUGCGUAGGUGGUUCUGUAUGUCUACCGUGAAAGCGUACGGCUCAACUGUAUUUUGUCGGUAGAAACUGCAGGACUUGAGGCUGGGAGGGGCUGGUGGAAUUCCCUGUGUAGCGGUGAAAUGCGUAGAGAUGGGGGAGAACACUCGUGGCGAAGGCGGCCAGCUAGACCAGUUCUGACACUGAGGCGCGACAGCGUGGGGAGCAAACAGG